AGAGUUUGAUCAUGGCUCAGAAUGAACGCUGGCGGCGUGCCUAACACAUGCAAGUCGUACGAGAAAUCCCGAGCUUGCUUGGGAGAGUAAAGUGGCGCACGGGUGAGUAACGCGUGGGUAACCCACCUUCGAAUUUGGGAUAACUCCGCGAAAGCGGUGCUAAUACCGGAUAAGACCACAGCCGUUUCGGCGGCAGAGGUAAAAGCUGACCUCUCCAUGGAAGUUAGCGUUCGAAGACGGGCCCGCGUCCUAUCAGCUUGUUGGUGGGGUAAAGGCCUACCAAGGCAGCGACGGGUAGCUGGUCUGAGAGGAUGAUCAGCCACACUGGAACUGGAACACGGUCCAGACUCCUACGGGAGGCAGCAGUGAGGAAUUUUGCGCAAUGGGGGAAACCCUGACGCAGCAACGCCGCGUGGGUGAAGAAGGCUUUCGGGUCGUAAAGCCCUGUCAGGUGGGAAGAAACUCUUCAGCACUAAUAAUGCUGAAGCCUGACGGUACCACCAGAGGAAGCACCGGCCAACUCCGUGCCAGCAGCCGCGGUAAUACGGAGGGUGCAAGCGUUGUUCGGAAUUAUUGGGCGUAAAGAGCGUGUAGGCGGCUUGGUAAGUCAGAUGUGAAAGCCCUGGGCUCAACCCAGGAAGUGCAUUUGAAACUACCAGACUUGAGUACGGGAGAGGAGGGGGGAAUUCCCGGUGUAGAGGUGAAAUUCGUAGAUAUCGGGAGGAAUACCGGUGGCGAAGGCGCCCCUCUGGACCGAUACUGACGCUGAGACGCGAAAGCGUGGGAGCAAACAGGAUUAGAUACCCUGAUAGUCUACGCCGUAAACGAUGAGCACUAAGUGUAGCGGGUAUUGACCCCUGCUGUGCGUAGCUAACGCAUUAAGUGCUCCGCCUGGGGACUACGGUCCGCAAGACUUAAAACUCAAAGGAAAUGAUGGGGGCCCGGACAAGUCUGAUGUAACCA
rnacentral:rRNA from 1 species